GGUCUAUUAGCUCAGUUGGUUAUAGCGUAGUGCUAAUAAUGCCGAGGUCACAUGUUCGACCCCUGUAUGGAUCA
rnacentral:tRNA from 1 species